AUUGAACGCUGGCGGCAGGCCUAACACAUGCAAGUCGAGCGGAUGAAGGGAGCUUGCUCCUGGAUUCAGCGGCGGACGGGUGAGUAAUGCCUAGGAAUCUGCCUGGUAGUGGGGAUAACGUCCGGAAACGGGCGCUAAUACCGCAUACGUCCUGAGGGAGAAAGUGGGGGAUCUUCGGACCGCACGCUAUCAGAUGAGCCUAGGUCGGAUUAGCUAGUUGGUGGGGUAAAGGCCUACCAAGGCGACGAUCCGUAACUGGUCUGAGAGGAUGAUCAGUCACACUGGAACUGAGACACGGUCCAGACUCCUACGGGAGGCAGCAGUGGGGAAUAUUGGACAAUGGGCGAAAGCCUGAUCCAGCCAUGCCGCGUGUGUGAAGAAGGUCUUCGGAUUGUAAAGCACUUUAAGUUGGGAGGAAGGGCAGUAAGUUAAUACCUUGCUGUUUUGACGGUACCAACAGAAUAAGCACCGGCUAACUUCGUG
rnacentral:rRNA from 1 species